rnacentral:rRNA from 1 species
AUUGAACGCUGGCGGCAUGCCUUACACAUGCAAGUCGAACGGUAACGCGGGGCAACCUGGCGACGAGUGGCGAACGGGUGAGUAAUGCAUCGGAACGUGCCCAGUUGUGGGGGAUAACUGCUCGAAAGAGCAGCUAAUACCGCAUACGACCUGAGGGUGAAAGCGGGGGAUCGCAAGACCUCGCGCAAUUGGAGCGGCCGAUGUCGGAUUAGCUAGUUGGUGGGGUAAAGGCCCACCAAGGCGACGAUCCGUAGCUGGUCUGAGAGGAUGACCAGCCACACUGGGACUGAGACACGGCCCAGACUCCUACGGGAGGCAGCAGUGGGGAAUUUUGGACAAUGGACGCAAGUCUGAUCCAGCCAUGCCGCGUGCGGGAAGAAGGCCUUCGGGUUGUAAACCGCUUUUGUCAGGGAAGAAAUCUUCUGGGUUAAUACCCUUGGGGGGAUGACGGUACCUGAAGAAUAAGCACCGGCUAACUACGUGCCAGCAGCCGCGGUAAUAC